UCUCAAUCCCGUAUCGAUCUCGCCUGCGGCAGAUUGCCUCCGAGUUAGCAGCCAGUUUCCAUGACCACCAGAGCCUCCGACACC